GACUCUUAAAAGGGGGAGGGAGGGGCUCCCCUGCUGCUGCACUUGGUGCUGAGUAAAUGCCGCCUGAACGUCUUGGAGGCCUGGCCCCAACCACAGAGUCAAUCGUAUUCUUUCCCCUUUCUGGCAGUGCUAGUUCCACAGCCCCCCCCCCCCCCCCGCCACCCCCAGCACCUCUAGAGAGAGGCUGCUUGCCCAGCUCCCCUCUCCCCUCCCUCCCCAGGACUCACCGAUCCGGUCAUUGCCAUUGCAGGAGGCAAAGUGCAGAGCUGUGCGGCCCUUGUCAUCAGCUGCACAGGGAUCCGUGCCAUCUUCCAGCAGCUGCUGCACUGACAUCGCCAAGACAGAGGGAGGGAGGGCGACAGAGAGGUAGUGUGAGUUACGCUGCAGCCCCCGGGGGUGAACACGGAUGCUCAGGGGACCCUGCAGGUAAGGCACCGAUAAGCCAUGGGAGAGCGAGCUCCUCCUGGAUGCAGGCCUUACAGGGAAUGUCAUGACAAGGGACUUACUCUCCUGAGGGCACAACUGGGAGCCCCCGAUUCGGGCUGCUCAAACUACGUCUAGGGUUAGAACAUCACAGAAGGAUCUUGGCCCUCAGCGUCAGGAGUUCUCGAAUCACAGAAAUCCCCGGCACGCAGACUUUGGCCCCACAUCCAUUUGGAUACACACCCUUUCCAGUUGGACACAGCAGCCCAAGCUGCGGGGGCAGCGUUCACUUUGCUCCUGGGAGGUGGCCUUUUAGAGUGAGCGGCCAGAGCACAGGUUUGGAGCCACGGAGACUAAGUCCCAGGCUAAGCUGGGUAACGAAGAGAGGGGUACGUUGCCAAUGGCACGGGGCAGUGGAAAGAGCGGGGCUCAGAGCAGGAAGGCCUGAAUCUGGGCCCCAAUUCACCGGCAAAUGGGAAUGAUCUCCGCCCUGCCAAUCUCCAGAGCUGCUGUAAUAACAAUAAUGGAUAUGAAAUUUCUUCGUUGCAAAGUACGGAGCCAUUAUAAAAUGUGACGCAUUAUGUGACACAUGUGUGUGUCCAGCUGAAAUGGAGAAAUUGCUGCCAAACAUCAUUUUAGAGCAGCUGACAUUUUUAGUCUCUGCCAGCGAACCUCUCAAGGACUCCAGACGAAGCCCGGAAUCUCCUCCUCCUCCUUCACUUCAAGCUCAGGGAGCCACUCCAUCAUCCGCGGGUCCUCAGUGCCCAGUUCACCUCGCCUGCUCUGACAUUAAAACGCCGCGCUGGUUUUGGAUAUCGUCCCCCUACGCCGAGCACCAGCCUGGCACCAGGUUUUGUGUUUCGUGCAUCUUACUUCAUACUCAGGAUCGAGACGGGAUUUGCGCAGCUCCAGGAUCGCUGUUGACUAACUGAAUGAAGGUGGCAGGAAAAGGAUUAGGAGAAUGGAAGAGAAGUAAGGGCUUCAGGCCAUCUCAGUACAUUCACCAAAAGACAGCCCGUAUCAAAGAGAUAAGACAAAGCUAAAAGAGUCCAUUCUCUUUCGUGAUUUGUGCAGGAGGACAUCAAUUUUAUGCCCACGGUAAUUGCUAAACUACAGCAAAAACCCAAUAAACAUGCGGAGAAGGAAAAGGAAAUGCUGACCAUAGAGAGAAAAGCAAUAAAGAGGCUAAUCCUACAGAGUCACCGUCGGAGCCUCGUAAGAGCCUGGUAAACCUAAGAGCCAUUUAGAUUUGAAGAUGAGUGUGUCAGAGACUCUGGAAAAUUACAGCAUUUCUCUCAGUAUAAUGAAACCACCAACCAUAACUUGCUCUUCUACCUCUGAUGCUGCCACUGCCCUGUCGGCCAAUGAACGCUAGACAGCAACAAUAAAAAACCAGAGUGGAUGGGGCGCCUGGGUGGCGCAGUCGGUUAAGCGUCCGACUUCAGCCAGGUCACGAU